rnacentral:rRNA from 1 species
CAGUAGCCGCGGUAAUACAGAGGGUGCGAGCGUUAAUCGGAUUUACUGGGCGUAAAGCGUGCGUAGGCGGCUUCUUAAGUCGGAUGUGAAAUCCCUGAGCUUAACUUAGGAAUUGCAUUCGAUACUGGGAAGCUAGAGUAUGGGAGAGGAUGGUAGAAUUCCAGGUGUAGCAGUGAAAUGCGUAGAGAUCGGAAGGAACAUCUGUGGCGAAGGCGACUAUCUGGGCCAUUACUGACACUGAGGCACGAAAGCGUGGGGAGCAAACAGGAUUAGAUACCCCCGUAGUCCCUGUCUCUUAUAU